UGGGGAAUUUUGGACAAUGGGGGCAACCCUGAUCCAGCAAUGCCGCGUGUGUGAAGAAGGCCUUCGGGUUGUAAAGCACUUUUGUCAGGAACGAAACGGUGGGGGCUAAUACCCUCUGCUAAUGACGGUACCUGAAGAAUAAGCACCGGCUAACUACGUG
rnacentral:rRNA from 1 species